rnacentral:lncRNA from 1 species
UUGACCAUGAUUAACACACAUUGAAUCAAGUUCAUCCCACAGACCUUUUAGCUUAUUAAAAUACGAAGCUAUAUCUAAGGACCCUUGAGAGGUGUGGGAUAACUCUCUUUUCAAUUCAAAGAUUUUGGUCCUGUUUGCAGUGCUAUAUCUGGCCUGGAGUUGGGACCACAUGCUCUGUGCAGUAUCAGAGUACUGCACAGAUUCAGCAAUUUGAGGGGAGAGGGAAGCAGUUAACCAAGAAAUCACCAUGUUGUUGCACCUAUCCAACAACCUUUGUUGAGCCACAUUAAUGGCAGGUCCGGAGUAUGUGCCAUCAACAAAACCAAUUUUGUUUUUGGCUGAUAAAGCAACAAUCAUUUUACGUCUCCAGCCCCCAUAACCACUACCCGAGAAGG